GGGUUGUGAGGUUAAGCGACUAAGCGUACACGGUGGAUGCCCUGGCAGUCAGAGGCGAUGAAGGACGUGCUAAUCUGCGAUAAGCGUCGGUAAGGUGAUAUGAACCGUUAUAACCGGCGAUUUCCGAAUGGGGAAACCCAGUGUGAUUCGUCACACUAUCAUUAACUGAAUCCAUAGGUUAAUGAGGCGAACCGGGGGAACUGAAACAUCUAAGUACCCCGAGGAAAAGAAAUCAACCGAGAUUCCCCAGUAGCGGCGAGCGAACGGGGAGGAGCCCAGAGCCUGAAUCAGUGUGUGUGUUAGUGGAAGCGUCUGGAAAGGCGCGCGAUACAGGGUGACAGCCCCGUACACAAAAAUGCACAUGCUGUGAGCUCGAUGAGUAGGGCGGGACACGUGGUAUCCUGUCUGAAUAUGGGGGGACCAUCCUCCAAGGCUAAAUACUCCUGACUGACCGAUAGUGAACCAGUACCGUGAGGGAAAGGCGAAAAGAACCCCGGCGAGGGGAGUGAAAAAGAACCUGAAACCGUGUACGUACAAGCAGUGGGAGCACAGAGCAAUCUGUGUGACUGCGUACCUUUUGUAUAAUGGGUCAGCGACUUAUAUUCUGUAGCAAGGUUAACCGAAUAGGGGAGCCGAAGGGAAACCGAGUCUUAACUGGGCGUUAAGUUGCAGGGUAUAGACCCGAAACCCGGUGAUCUAGCCAUGGGCAGGUUGAAGGUUGGGUAACACUAACUGGAGGACCGAACCGACUAAUGUUGAAAAAUUAGCGGAUGACUUGUGGCUGGGGGUGAAAGGCCAAUCAAACCGGGAGAUAGCUGGUUCUCCCCGAAAGCUAUUUAGGUAGCGCCUCGUGAAUUCAUCUCCGGGGGUAGAGCACUGUUUCGGCAAGGGGGUCAUCCCGACUUACCAACCCGAUGCAAACUGCGAAUACCGGAGAAUGUUAUCACGGGAGACACACGGCGGGUGCUAACGUCCGUCGUGAAGAGGGAAACAACCCAGACCGCCAGCUAAGGUCCCAAAGUCAUGGUUAAGUGGGAAACGAUGUGGGAAGGCCCAGACAGCCAGGAUGUUGGCUUAGAAGCAGCCAUCAUUUAAAGAAAGCGUAAUAGCUCACUGGUCGAGUCGGCCUGCGCGGAAGAUGUAACGGGGCUAAACCAUGCACCGAAGCUGCGGCAGCGACACUGUGUGUUGUUGGGUAGGGGAGCGUUCUGUAAGCCUGUGAAGGUGUGCUGUGAGGCAUGCUGGAGGUAUCAGAAGUGCGAAUGCUGACAUAAGUAACGAUAAAGCGGGUGAAAAGCCCGCUCGCCGGAAGACCAAGGGUUCCUGUCCAACGUUAAUCGGGGCAGGGUGAGUCGACCCCUAAGGCGAGGCCGAAAGGCGUAGUCGAUGGGAAACAGGUUAAUAUUCCUGUACUUGGUGUUACUGCGAAGGGGGACGGAGAAGGCUAUGUUGGCCGGGCGACGGUUGUCCCGGUUUAAGCGUGUAGGCUGGUUUUCCAGGCAAAUCCGGAAAAUCAAGGCUGAGGCGUGAUGACGAGGCACUACGGUGCUGAAGCAACAAAUGCCCUGCUUCCAGGAAAAGCCUCUAAGCAUCAGGUAACAUCAAAUCGUACCCCAAACCGACACAGGUGGUCAGGUAGAGAAUACCAAGGCGCUUGAGAGAACUCGGGUGAAGGAACUAGGCAAAAUGGUGCCGUAACUUCGGGAGAAGGCACGCUGAUAUGUAGGUGAAGUCCCUCGCGGAUGGAGCUGAAAUCAGUCGAAGAUACCAGCUGGCUGCAACUGUUUAUUAAAAACACAGCACUGUGCAAACACGAAAGUGGACGUAUACGGUGUGACGCCUGCCCGGUGCCGGAAGGUUAAUUGAUGGGGUCAGCGCAAGCGAAGCUCUUGAUCGAAGCCCCGGUAAACGGCGGCCGUAACUAUAACGGUCCUAAGGUAGCGAAAUUCCUUGUCGGGUAAGUUCCGACCUGCACGAAUGGCGUAAUGAUGGCCAGGCUGUCUCCACCCGAGACUCAGUGAAAUUGAACUCGCUGUGAAGAUGCAGUGUACCCGCGGCAAGACGGAAAGACCCCGUGAACCUUUACUAUAGCUUGACACUGAACAUUGAGCCUUGAUGUGUAGGAUAGGUGGGAGGCUUUGAAGUGUGGACGCCAGUCUGCAUGGAGCCGACCUUGAAAUACCACCCUUUAAUGUUUGAUGUUCUAACGUGGACCCGUGAUCCGGGUUGCGGACAGUGUCUGGUGGGUAGUUUGACUGGGGCGGUCUCCUCCUAAAGAGUAACGGAGGAGCACGAAGGUUGGCUAAUCCUGGUCGGACAUCAGGAGGUUAGUGCAAUGGCAUAAGCCAGCUUGACUGCGAGCGUGACGGCGCGAGCAGGUGCGAAAGCAGGUCAUAGUGAUCCGGUGGUUCUGAAUGGAAGGGCCAUCGCUCAACGGAUAAAAGGUACUCCGGGGAUAACAGGCUGAUACCGCCCAAGAGUUCAUAUCGACGGCGGUGUUUGGCACCUCGAUGUCGGCUCAUCACAUCCUGGGGCUGAAGUAGGUCCCAAGGGUAUGGCUGUUCGCCAUUUAAAGUGGUACGCGAGCUGGGUUUAGAACGUCGUGAGACAGUUCGGUCCCUAUCUGCCGUGGGCGCUGGAGAACUGAGGGGGGCUGCUCCUAGUACGAGAGGACCGGAGUGGACGCAUCACUGGUGUUCGGGUUGUCAUGCCAAUGGCACUGCCCGGUAGCUAAAUGCGGAAGAGAUAAGUGCUGAAAGCAUCUAAGCACGAAACUUGCCCCGAGAUGAGUUCUCCCUGACCCUUUAAGGGUCCUGAAGGAACGUUGAAGACGACGACGUUGAUAGGCCGGGUGUGUAAGCGCAGCGAUGCGUUGAGCUAACCGGUACUAAUGAACCGUGAGGCUUAACCUUACAACGCCGAAGGUGUUU
rnacentral:rRNA from 1 species